GUGAAUCAUCGAAUCUUUGAACGCAAAUUGCACUCUCCGGUUUUCCGGGAGAGUAUGCCUGUUUGAGGGUCAGCCUAAAAAAAAUCGACAUUGUUGCGGUUAUUGAAUGGUGACUUGCGUCGGAGAUUGGGUUAUCUUAAACCUUUUUUUUUUUUUUUGGUUUAAGCGACUUAAAAUUUUUCUUCACGAUUCAAUUAACGUUUCUAAGAUUUUUAUGUCUUAUACGUUUAAGGUUUAUCGAUUUUUUAGUAGACGUGACCGUCUCAUCGUAUCGCGUCCAUA
rnacentral:misc_RNA from 1 species